rnacentral:lncRNA from 1 species
UAGGUUGUCCAUGUAGAUUUGGGUCCUCAUUGAUCCCGUCCCCAUAAAGAGGGAUUCGGAUCACCUGAUGUGAAUGAUAGGUGAAGCGAUUUUAAAAUGUAUAAAAUAACGUCGUUUUGUAUAUUUUAUGAUUAAAAUGGUGUUAUAUUAAUUAACAAAUAAAAUGAUAUGGUUUUUAUGUUUUAUUUUAAUAAAAAAAUAACAUCAUUUCGGCCUUAAAAUAUAUAAAAUGAUAUUAUUUUCUACACUUUAACACACUUCAGCCAUCACGCACUUUAGGGGAUCCGAACUCGAGAGGGAGAGCUUCCAUAAAUGUUAAUACACUUGGAAUGCCUUACGAAAUUACUUAAAAAUAAAUAUUUAAAAUAUAAAUUUAAAUGAAAUAGGUGAAACCAAAUUGACGGUAUAAAUGUCAAAAUUAAUAUCUUAUUGGAGACACUUGUGAUGAAUAAAUUUUAUAUCGGAUAAGUAAAAUAAGAUUUGACAACUUAAAAUAUAUUAGAUAAACUUAUCAUUUAUAAGACUUGAAAUUUUAAAAUGGCACGAGUUUCAAAUAAUUUAUAUUGGAUCAAUAUAAUAUGAAUGUGUACCUUUGCGAAUUUAGUUUCCUAUUUUGGCUAAUCUCCAAAAUUGUAACUAACUUUUUGGGUGCAUAAAUUAAGGUCAUAUUUGUUUUGAAGAUAAGAAUGUUGAAUUAGAAUACAAAUUCUGUAGAGUCACUAAUAUGGUAUCUGUUUAUUCCCUCUAAGAUUGGAUAUAUAAUUCGAUAGAUUUGUAAUCUACUAAAUUGACUGAAUUUAUAAUAACAUCUUCCCCCAUUAUUACAAAUUCAAGAGAUAAAUUAACUUAAAAUUGCUAAAAUACUCAUAAAUAAAUACAACAAUAAAAUAUUAUUAAAUUAAUAUAUUAUAUAAUAUUUACUUAUGUAAAGUCUUUUAUACCCCAUAAGUUAAUUGGUUGGUGCCUAAUUAUUUUUUAAUGGGGAUUCGUGUUCGGCUAGUAUAUUAUGUUUUACAAUUACUCCCUCUAGCAUGUCUAGUUUUGUGAAUUACGAUAUAAUAUUUUAUUUGAUGCUAUUAUUCUUGUUAGUUAGUGAUAUGGAUACCUAGUUAAAAAUUAUAUUUAUUUUUAUUUAUUUAUAGAGUCCCUGAUUUUUUUUAUUUAAUUAAAAACUAUGAUGAGAGGGCAAUCAUGAAAAUACACGAAAAAAAUAUUUAAUUCAACACUUAUAUCCAUAUAAAAUAAACAAGUGCAUAUUGAGAUUUCACAGAAUGUUUAAUCUAAUUUAAUUCCGACACAGUUUGUUAUUCACUUUUAAAUUUAUUAAAAUUUAAAUUCAUCAAAUUCAAUUUGCCAAAACAUACAUGACCAAAAGGGAAUAUGAUGGAUAAAUGGGAAUCUUAAAAUCAAUCAUCUUUUUGUUGACCCCUAGGCCUUUUCAGUGUCAAUCCCUAACUAUUUGCUGAAUAUUACCCGAAUGGUCACCAUAUUAACACUAUCAUGUUUAGAAUUCAACUGACUAAUCUAUAUCAUUAGGAGUAUAAAAAAUUGAGAAAAAGAACUAUCAAAAUUCAUUUUGUUCAGUGUUUUGGGCUUCUAAUCUAGGGUUGUCGGUUUCUACAAAAUAUAAAAAUAAAAAAAAAUAAUUCCACUUAAUUUUAUGAUGGGCUAAAUUGAUACAAUUGAAUUGAAUUUAGCUAUUUGAUUUAAUAAUUAAUCUUAUCUGUGGCUGCUAUCAACCUAAUUUUUUAAUCUAAGCCUGGUUUUGGUUAGCUAUUACUAUAGGUAUUGGUAUCUGCAUUUUUUUUUUUUUCUUUAGCGAAAUGUUGGACUUCUUAAAAUAUUUUGACACUUGUUAAAGUUCUAUUGGAAUUUGUAAACUAUUAUGUGUUUGGUUAUGAAAUUGUUAAUUAUUACAUUUUGUUAUUUAAAAUCUAAUGAUUUAGUGGGUAUUUUUAUGGAGACCCAAAAUAUUGGCAAGAAAAGAAAAUCGAAAAAAAUGAAAAAUAGAACCAAAUUCCUUCAAAUCGAAUGGUUUGAUUUUUCUAUUAGAAGUAUAAGUUUUGAUUUUAUAAUUUUACAAAUCAAAAAUGUUCGGUUAUGACUUAUAAUUUUUUUCAAAACCGAAUCGAUUACUCCAUAUAUAUCACAAUGAUAUUCAUUUUGAAAAUAUUUUUUUUUUGAAGGGGUAUGAGGGGAGUUUUGCUACGAACGGUACAUUGACAGCGUAUAUAUACUCAUACGUGAUAGAGACUCACAAAAUUUUGGGUUCCAUGACCUGUAAAUGUCGAUGCCCUUACAAAAUGCAUUGGCUAUGAGUACUUUUUUGGUACAAGGGUUGCUCUAAGUAGAGAGAUCAAUUGCGUAAAAGAUGAAAAUAAUUUAAAAAAUAGAAAAUAUAAUUACGUGUAGCUUACAAAAAGUUAUGAGCAUAAUCUUAGAAGUGUCUUCCUAACUUUUUAAUAAUUUAGAGCAAUAGAUGCGUCAAUUGUCUGGAUUC